rnacentral:pre_miRNA from 1 species
UCUUAUGAAUAAGCAAAGAAAGUGGUUUCUUGAGAAGGAAUCUACUCCUAACAAAGAUGCUGUGAA